rnacentral:lncRNA from 1 species
AAUGCAUCGAUGAUUUAUGAUAAUGAGAGAUGAUCAAUGUUUGAUGAUGAAAUUGCUUGUUUUAUGUGAUAAGGAUUUGAUGUUUGUUUAGCUUUCGAUUCAACGGGACUUAGAAGCAAAUUAUUGCUAGGAAUCACAUUUUGUGCAUUGCUUUUGUUGAAUGUUUUGUAUUUUAAAUUUGGAAUUAAUUUGUGCUAGAUCAUGUUAUGUUCGGUUUUAAGACUCACCUUAGGAAAUUUAUGAUACGAAGUAUUGAGUAGUGAGUGAUUUGGGAUAUGAUUUGGGCCUUCUUUGAACCGUUUGAGCCUUUCAAGCCGAC